AUUGAACGCUGGCGGCAGGCUUAUACAUGCAAGUCGAGCGCAUCUUUCGGGAUGAGCGGCGGACGGGUGAGUAACGCGUGGGAAUGUGCCCUUCUCUACGGAAUAGCCACUGGAAACGGUGAGUAAUACCGUAUACGCCCUCAGGGGGAAAGAUUUAUCGGAGAAGGAUCAGCCCGCGUUAGAUUAGGUAGUUGGUGGGGUAACGGCCUACCAAGCCUACGAUCUAUAGCUGGUUUUAGAGGAUGAUCAGCCACACUGGGACUGAGACACGGCCCAGACUCCUACGGGAGGCAGCAGUAGGGAAUCUUGGACAAUGGGGGAAACCCUGAUCCAGCCAUGCCGCGUGAGUGAAGAAGGCCUUAGGGUCGUAAAGCUCUUUCGCCUGUGAUGAUAAUGACAGUAGCAGGUAAAGAAACCCCGGCUAACUCCGUGCCAGCAGCCGCGGUAAUACGGAGGGGGUUAGCGUUGUUCGGAAUUACUGGGCGUAAAGCGCGCGUAGGCGGAUUGGAAAGUUGGGGGUGAAAUCCCGGGGCUCAACCCCGGAACUGCCUCCAAAACUGCCAGUCUAGAGUUCGAGAGAGGUGAGUGGAACUCCAAGUGUAGAGGUGAAAUUCGUAGAUAUUUGGAAGAACACCAGUGGCGAAGGCGGCUCACUGGCUCGAUACUGACGCUGAGGUGCGAAAGUGUGGGGAGCAAACAGGAUUAGAUACCCUGGUAGUCCACACCGUAAACGAUGAAUGCCAGUCGUCGGGUAGUAUACUAUUCGGUGACACACCUAACGGAUUAAGCAUUCCGCCUGGGGAGUACGGUCGCAAGAUUA
rnacentral:rRNA from 1 species